rnacentral:rRNA from 1 species
AUUGAACGCUGGCGGCAUGCUUUACACAUGCAAGUCGAACGGCAGCGCGGGCUUCGGCCUGGCGGCGAGUGGCGAACGGGUGAGUAAUACAUCGGAACGUGCCCAGUAGUGGGGGAUAGCUCGGCGAAAGCCGGAUUAAUACCGCAUACGACCUGAGGGUGAAAGCGGGGGAUCUUCGGACCUCGCGCUAUUGGAGCGGCCGCUGGCAGAUUAGCUAGUUGGUGGGGUAAAGGCCUACCAAGGCGACGAUCUGUAGCUGGUCUGAGAGGACGACCAGCCACCCUGGCACUGAGACACGGCCCAGACUCCUACGGGAGGCAGCAGUGGGGAAUUUUGGACAAUGGGCGAAAGCCUGAUCCAGCAAUGCCGCGUGUGUGAUGAAGGCCUUCGGGUUGUAAAGCACUUUUGGCGGGAACGAAAAGGACUGUGCCAAUACCACGGUUCGAUGACGGUACCCGCAGAAUAAGCACCGGCUAACUACGUG